GUUUUCAGAACAAGAUUGUGCCAGCUUCAGGAAAUGGUUUUUGAAUUUCUCCAUAUUUGGUACAGACAACUUAAAUGCUAUGCAGCUGGUUUGAGCCUUAUCUUCUUGGUGAUUUUUGGAAGGUAAAUCAUUUGGGCUCAUGAGGAACAGAGGAGCCAAACCACUAUUGAGAAGAUUGCCGUUCACCAUUUUGACAACCACACAAGCCACAGAUGAUACUCUCAGAUUCUAAAGCCUGCCUCCAUUCUCUGGCUGUGGCCCCUUCCUCCAUCUUCAAAUCUAGCAGUUCUGCAAAAAUCUUUCUUAUGAUGCAUUUCUCUGAUUCCAACUCCUCUGCCUCCCCUUUCACCAUUUAAGGACCCUCUGAUUAAACUGGACUCACCCAGAAAAUCCAGGAUAAUCUUCUCAUUUUAACAUCAGCUGAUUGGCAACCUUGCUUCCAUCUGCUACCUGAAUUCCCUUAGCCAUGUAACGUAACAUAUUCACAAGUUCUGGAGAAGAAGACAUGUACUUCUUUGGAGUGACAGAGGGACUAGCUACUACACACUGGAAGAAUCAAAUAUUCAAUAUGAGGUUAUUGACACAAGGAAGAACACAUACAAGAAUUUUAUGUAAAAGGGGUCUAAGAAUGACCAGGAGUUAAUGCGGUAAAGAGAGCAUGAAAGAACAUUUCAAUCCCCAGGAACAGUGCGAGCAAAGGAAUGAAGUGAAGAGAGGAAAUCAAGUCUGGGUUAUCUGACUUACUGCUGAGUGAUUUUACAGCUUGGAAGUAACAGUUCUCUGGUAGCCAGGUUCUCCAGAAGUGUGCUUGUGAGCUCACAGGUUUGUCAUUGGUUCUGUUUAGGGUCCAAUGUUGCAUGUCAUUCAUUCUCUGCUUUCCUCCAGACGGGAAGUUCUCAAUUAGUGUUACAAUGGGAUGGGACCCAUAUAUUGGAAAUAAAGCUAUAGAGGAAAAGGUUGGAGAUUGCAUUUAUGUACAGAUUUGGGAGUGUCUGUCAACUCAGUAAUGGCUAACAUGUCAUACAUACACGUGGCAAAGACAGUAAAGACAGCAAAUAACAAGUACAACAGAAGCCAUUGAGGUGGUCAUAAAAGAACACACACAAAUGUAUGCAGAUAUUUAGUAAGCGCUCAUGACAAAACAGUAUAUAAUUUGUGGAAAUAUUUUCAAAUCUAGGCAACACCUCUAUGUUUCACUGUCACUGACGCAUGUUAAGCAACUCUCAUUUACAUGUGAACUCCACAGUGCCCAUAAUCUUAAACUUGAUUCGUAAGAUUGUAAUACCCAUCAGCACCCUUAUUCUAAUCUAAGAAAUUCUGGGAAUGAAGAGCAAAUAGGCAAUAUAAAGUCUAUCUGAAUAUUUAGACAAGGAAGAAGUACUUCAUUUGUUGCACUAGAAGUAAUGCAACAAUUAAUUAACACAGACAAUAGGAAUUUCUCUUGCCAUACCACUUCUACAUCUUCUGGGUGACAAGGACCCACUAUUCUUUUCAGGAAAUGUAUUUGACUUUUACUUCGGUAUAAACAUAUGUGAAAUAAAUAACUUAUUUACUUAUUAUGAUGUAUAAACAUAUGUUUAUACCUGAAAUAAAAGUCAAAUGGCUUUGGGAGGCCGAGGUGGGCAGAUCACGAGGUCAGGAGUUUGAGACAAUCCUGGCCAAUAUGGUGAAACCCCAUCUCUGCUAAAAAUACAAAAAUUAGCUGGACGUGGUGACACACUCCUGUAGGCCCAGCUAAUUGGGAGGCUGAGUCAGAAGAAUCGCUUGAACCUGGGGGUUGGAGGUUGCAGUGAGCCGAGAUCAUGCCACUGCACUUCAGCCUGGGCGAUGGAGCGAGACUUGGUUUCAAAAAGUCAAAUGGCACUGGGGACAUAAGACUGAGCCCUGGGGGACCAACCUUCUUGUUAUCUCAGACUGUUCCUGAAGUUUUGCUCCUUAUCUUCGUGUGACCACAAAUUCUUUUCGUUCAUUCAGUCUUAAGUUACCUUCUCCUGGUAAACUCAUGACCCCUCACCCAUUGGAGUUUGUUCUAACUUCCUAUCUAUGACCAACUUCAAAGUGUCGACCAUGUGGAGAUUUCCUUCUUGACUUCCAUUAUUCCAGCCACUUGCAUGGGGACAGCAAUAGUCUCUCCUUGGUGUUAGCCAGCGGGACUCUGUCAGGCUCAACUAAAUUCCGAAUGUCCCACAUAAAAUAAAAAUUUCUGGCAUUUCUUUGAUCUUCUACCAUAUUCCCUGUUUUCGGUAAUCAAAUGUGUUUAACAAUUUGCUUAACCACAUGAUAAAUCUAAAAACAUUGUUGCCCUGUUAAUGUUAUGUUAAUGCAAAUAAUAACUCAAAAGGCAGAAAUCUGUGGUGUUCAAAAUUUCUUUUGUAAAAUUUCCAUACAACGAUACUUUUAAAACUUGACAAAGAAAUCUGGCUCUCCUUUUUGCUUGCCCCAGCCUUCCUUUCUUCUUCCCUCUUGUCCCCAUUUUUAAGGGCCCAUUGUGCUCCAAGCACUGUGGUCUGAUUAAGGAAAUGUUCAACUUGAUAAGUACAGAACGUUAUUGUCAAGGUUCUGUUCUUUGAAUUUUUAUGAUGCAGAACUUAGAGAGCAAGAAAGUCAAAGAAGAAAGGGACUGAAGAAUGUCAAGGAAAUGACCUAGCACUACAAGCCAUAAAGUAAUGACAGUUUCAAGGGGAAGAAUAGAGAGAAAGAGGAAUCAUGUGGAGAGGAAGAAGGUGGGGAGUUAAGGAGAGAAUUUGGAAGUAAUGACUUGAGAAAAGACGCGCUAGAGUAACUCCGGGAUCAAAGAAACAUGAACAGCCAGAAAAAGGAGAUUUUUUUUUAAUGUUUCUAAGUACUUCAUAUUCUGAUGCCCUGUGAGUAAAAUAAGGAGUUUCUUUUUAAUUAGGUUGUUCUGUUAAACUUUGUCUUUUGCACAUGCCGUAGCUCUGAGACUGAGUAUAUAGAUUUAUGAAUGCAGAGAAAAUAUAACUAAAACAAAACAUCUGGCCAGUCUACGACAUACUCCCUGUUAUAUUUUAUAAUUCUGUCUGAAUAAAUAUAUUUAGAGC